rnacentral:rRNA from 1 species
UACGUAGGGUGCGAGCGUUAAUCGGAAUUACUGGGCGUAAAGCGUGCGCAGGCGGUUAUGUAAGACAGAUGUGAAAUCCCCGGGCUCAACCUGGGACCUGCAUUUGUGACUGCAUAGCUAGAGUACGGUAGAAAAAGAUGGAAUUCCGCGUGUAGCAGUGAAAUGCGUAGAUAUGCAGAAGAACACCGAUAGCGAAGGCAAUCCCCUAGACCUGUACUGACGCUCAUGCACGAAAGCGUGGGGAGCAAAC